GCCUGCGGCCAUACCACGUUGAAUGCACCGGUUCCCAUCUGAACACCGAAGUUAAGCAACGUCGGGCCAGCUUAGUACCUGGAUGGGUGACCGCCUGGGAAUCGCUGGUGCUGCAGGCU
rnacentral:rRNA from 10 species